GUAUGCGAUCAUACCAGCACUAAAGCACCGGAUCCCAUCAGAACUCCGAAGUUAAGCGUGCUUGGGCGAGAGUAGUACUAGGAUGGGUGACCUCCUGGGAAGUCCUCGUGUUGCAUUCC
rnacentral:rRNA from 2 species